rnacentral:lncRNA from 10 species
GGGGUCACCUCCCACUCCGGCUAGAAAGAGAGAAGGAGACAGUGAAUUCCUCGGAAGCCGCUCGCCCUGCACCCAAGCGGGACUUGCACCACAAGCAGCCCCAGGAAAAAACUCUCCAUUUCUUUCUCGUGGAGGCUCCAGAAGAAAAGCUGCGCAUUUACCCGGCGCAUUCUAACCGCCUUUGAGGUUCCCUCCGGCAGCCAUGGGAGCCGUGGUGGGGCAAAGCCUGGGCUGGGAGACGCUGCAAGGCUCUGGGGAGCAGUGAGGCGCCGCGCCAGCUCCUCCGUUCCCGUCAUAGCCUCACACGGGCUUCGCUGGACACGUCCAGGACGCAGCGCCGGUGGGCACCAGGCGUUGAGCGCCUGCCCCGCGUCUGUGCUAAGACCUCCCUUUGCAUUAUUGCAUUUAUUCCAACGAUGGGGUGAGGUAGGUAUUCUUAUUUCCAUUGCCAGAGUGAAACACUGAGGCUCAUCCAGGGGCCGGUGUGGAAAUCAGGGCUCAGCCCUGGGCCCCUGCUGCUUGGAGCCGGUGCGGUGGCCACCGUGACCUCACGCUUUCCCUGCCAGUCGCUCUCCGCCGCAUCCCGGCCUCCCGCCCCGCCCCCGGCCGCUUUCCAGGGACUGAAGCCCGAGUUGGUGCUGCGUGUCCCCGCGGGGAUUAUUUUCAAACAGCUCCUCCUGCCCUGGCUCCCACAGCGCGGCCCCAGGCAGCUGCACCACUUUCUCCUCUCACCAAUUAAAGCCGAAUCCAGGGCUCCUUAGCAUAUGAAUUGAGGCGCAUCGGAGCCCUCACUGCUGGGCCAGCCCCUCCCGGGCUCCUCCGGUUCCGGGAGGUCCACAGCCCAGCAGCAGCUGCCCCUGCACGUUGUCCCCUCCGUCCAGCAUCCCGGGGCCGAGGAGACAGUGCCCCUGGCCGGGGGCUGCGCUGGCUUCAACUUCCCAUGGGCAAAACGGGGUCCCGGGUCAGUGUUCACAGAGGGUCUCAAACCCUGCAGGACCCUGAAAUUGUCUGGGAUCCACACCAGUCGGAAGAAAAAAAGAAUAGAAAACGCAGGGAUUCACCUCCUCUGCAGGCACCCUCAUGCCGAACACUAAACAGGAUGAUGUUGAAAAGGAUUUGGAGAUUUAUGCAGGUCACGAGCUUGAGGAAUUUUUCCAUUGAAUGCACCAUGCCUUGGGUUUCCCGUUUCCCACUGAAAAUCCCAUGGCUGACACUUUUUUUAUAUCAUUACCUUGGGAGAUGAAGAAAAACUCAUCUGUUAGGGCAGCUCUGUGAAUGCAGAUGCUUUGGGUUGUUUUGAAUGAAUGACUGAAUGUUCUGAAAUAAAGCAGGAAGGUGCCUGCGGGAUAAUGACUGGUUUCGCAACUCUUGGCCGGGAGUCUAGACCCCUCUGAUAAUCAAUAGAAAUGGAUGUAUAUUAAAUUUAGCAAUAGAAAAAGUA